UACAGAGGUCUCAAGCGUUGUUCGGAUUCAUUGGGCGUAAAGGGUGCGUAGGCGGCGCGGUAAGUCGGGUGUGAAAUCCCCGGGCUCAACCUGGGAACCGCGCUUGAGACUGGCACGCUAGAGUUCGGGAGAGGAUGGUGGAAUUCCCAGUGUAGAGGUGAAAUUCGUAGAUAUUGGGAAGAACACCGAUGGCGAAGGCAGCCAUCUGGACCGACACUGACGCUGAGGCGCGAAAGCGUGGGGAGCAAACAGG
rnacentral:rRNA from 1 species